AGAGUUUGAUCCUGGCUCAGGAUGAACGCUAGCUACAGGCUUAACACAUGCAAGUCGAGGGGAAACGAUAUUGGAAGCUUGCUUCCGAUAGGCGUCGACCGGCGCACGGGUGAGUAACGCGUAUCCAACCUGCCCACCACUUGGGGAUAACCUUGCGAAAGUAAGACUAAUACCCAAUGAUAUCUCUAGAAGACAUCUGAAAGAGAUUAAAGAUUUAUCGGUGAUGGAUGGGGAUGCGUCUGAUUAGCUUGUUGGCGGGGUAACGGCCACAAGGCGACGAUCAGUAGGGGCUCUGAGAGGAAGGUCCCCCANACUUGGAACUGAGACACGGUCCAAACUCCUACGGGAGCA
rnacentral:rRNA from 1 species